AACGAACGCUGGCGGCAUGCCUAACACAUGCAAGUCGAACGAGACCUUCGGGUCUAGUGGCGCACGGGUGCGUAACGCGUGGGAAUCUGCCCUUGGGUUCGGAAUAACAGUUAGAAAUGACUGCUAAUACCGGAUAAUGUCUUCGGACCAAAGAUUUAUCGCCCAGGGAUGAGCCCGCGUAGGAUUAGCUAGUUGGUGAGGUAAAGGCUCACCAAGGCGACGAUCCUUAGCUGGUCUGAGAGGAUGAUCAGCCACACUGGGACUGAGACACGGCCCAGACUCCUACGGGAGGCAGCAGUGGGGAAUAUUGGACAAUGGGCGAAAGCCUGAUCCAGCAAUGCCGCGUGAGUGAUUGAAGGCCUUAGGGUUGUAAAGCUCUUUUUACCCCGGGAUGAUAAUGACAGUACCGGAGAACUAAGCCCCGGCUAACUCCGUGCCAGCAG
rnacentral:rRNA from 1 species